GUUGUUCCCACUUUCUAAGCGCUGGUUUUAAUUUUUGAAGUCCGCUCAAAUUUCAUUUAUUUCUUCUCUCACUAAAAUCAGAUUCAAAGACUCGGUUGCGGCUAACUAGGUUACCACAAUUCUCAAUUUUCCCCAAAACUUCAUCACAUAUGGAUUCGAGUAUGAGAGUAUCUCCAUCUUUCUCCGCUUCUUCGUCAGUUUUUGCAAGCACAUGAAGCCUUGAUUUCUCAUAUUUGCUUCUAAGACUCAAACAGCAUUCAGGAGGCAACGUUCCAUUGAUGAAUCGAGUAAUGUCAUUUGCUGGUUUUGAUCACCAGGGUUCUUCUAGAAGAUUAGUUUGCAGACUUUUGUAGGUUGAUGAAGACGUGAAGUAGCAUCAGCUAGGCUUUAAUGCUUUGUUACUAUUUUGUGCUCAGUAAAGUAGUAACAUCACACCCUAAGAAGCAUCAGACUGGAAUUGACACUAAAUUUAUGGAAGUGCUGACAUUCAGAGAACACCACAUGACAUUUUUUCAGAAGUCAGAUCUGUUUUUCAUCUGUCUGCAACAACCUCUGUCCUUUAACAUCCAAGUUCAAGAAACAGAACUGGAAGCAGCUUAGGUAAUUUCAUUAACAUUCAAUUCACUAUUAGAUUAUGGGUAUUUAACGACAAUAUAUUAACGACAAACUUUCUCUCUUCGGUUAUAUCUUAGUUCUGAUAAAGAGCACAAGAACAUUGCAAGCAAAGACAACAUGUUAAUGGUCACUUUUGUUUUUCUGGUUUUAGAUGAUAUGGCUGCUUAUUCCUCAUCAUACUAAUAUUGAACCUUGUUUGUUGGUGCGAAAUGUAAGUGGUUGCGGUGCUGAAAGAUUGUGAGGGGGCUGGGGUACUAGAGCCUCGCAUAUAUAUGUUUGUGCAUGCAAGUAUGUUAUCUGGCACCGUUUUAUACUGUUGAACAUUUUCAAGGUUUUGUAGCUAUAGCUGAGCUGCUUAGUUAUCAUGUGAAUCUGGCUAAUUGAGAUUGUUUUUCAUUGUGAAACUUGUGUUUUCUAAAGUUUGUAGAGGAUUUUCUUACUCUUUUAUAAGAGACUGUUCAAAAGAUAUUCUUAUUCAAUUAUGAUAUUUAAUUAUGUAUUAUGUUUCUCGACUGUAGUCCAAUGUUGUAUGGUUUAUAUUUUCAUUUCACUUAAACUUAUUCUACUUGUUGGACACUGUAGGUAUUCUAGGUCUCCAUCACCUAUGAAAAAAAGAUCUACGUCUCACUCUAGGUCCAUAUCUAUGUCUCCUCCUAGAUACCGGUCCCAUUCUCGUCCCAGGUCAAGGUUUGCGAGCCGUGGAAGGUUGGCUUGAAGCUUAAAAGGCACAUUUGUUGUUCGCUUUCUGCUUGACUGCUAACUCUUUAUUCUAUAGCAGGAUUGAGAUCCUCUAGAGUCACUCAUAGAGAACUUGAGGAUUUCUUUUCCAAGUAGGGAAAGGUGAGUACUGGAUGUAUCCUGAUCAAAUAUGUUGUUGUCAAGACAUGAAUGGACUUAAUGUUACUAUUCCAACUUCACAAGCUGGAUCAGAAAUGCAAAAAUAGGUCGAAGCUGCUACACAUCAAUUCUAGAUAUUUGGUGCAAAUUUUCUUAAUUUUUUUUAAGAACAAGGAAUCAUUGAGAUUUAAUUCUUAGUAUGGACCAAGUUAUAUAUUUGACCUUAUUAGUUUGGUUG